CAACUUUCAGCAACGGAUCUCUUGGCUCUCGCAUCGAUGAAGAACGCAGCGAAAUGCGAUAAGUAAUGUGAAUUGCAGAAUUCAGUGAAUCAUCGAAUCUUUGAACGCACCUUGCGCCCUUUGGCUAUUCCGAAGGGCAUGCCUGUUUGAGUAUCAUGAA
rnacentral:rRNA from 1 species